UGCCUGAUGGAGGGGGAUAACUACUGGAAACGGUAGCUAAUACCGCAUAACGUCGCAAGACCAAAGAGGGGGACCUUCGGGCCUCUUGCCAUCGGAUGUGCCCAGAUGGGAUUAGCUAGUAGGUGGGGUAACGGCUCACCUAGGCGACGAUCCCUAGCUGGUCUGAGAGGAUGACCAGCCACACUGGAACUGAGACACGGUCCAGACUCCUACGGGAGGCAGCAGUGGGGAAUAUUGCACAAUGGGCGCAAGCCUGAUGCAGCCAUGCCGCGUGUAUGAAGAAGGCCUUCGGGUUGUAAAGUACUUUCAGCGGGGAGGAAGGGAGUAAAGUUAAUACCUUUGCUCAUUGACGUUACCCGCAGAAGAAGCACCGGCUAACUCCGUGCCAGCAGCCGCGGUAAUACGGAGGGUGCAAGCGUUAAUCGGAAUUACUGGGCGUAAAGCGCACGCAGGCGGAUUGUUAAGUCAGAUGUGAAAUCCCCCCGG
rnacentral:rRNA from 2 species